AAUUUCUAGUGUAGAGGUGAAAUUCGUAGAUAUUAGAAAGAAUACCAAUUGCGAAGGCAGCUUUCUGGAUCAUUACUGACACUGAGGAACGAAAGCAUGGGUAGCGAAGAGGAUUAGAUACCCUCGUAGUCCAUGCCGUAAACGAUGUGUGUUAGACGUUGGAAAUUUAUUUUCAGUGUCGCAGCGAAAGCGAUAAACACACCGCCUGGGGAGUACGACCGCAAGGUUAAAACUCAAAUGAAUUGACGGGGACCCGCACAAGUAGUGGAGCAUGUGGUUUAAUUCGAAGAUACGCGCAGAACCUUACCAACACUUGACAUGUUCGUCGCGACUUUAAGAGAUUAAAGUUUUCGGUUCGGCCGGACGAAACACAGGUGCUGCAUGGCUGUCGUCAGCUCGUGUCGUGAGAUGUUGGGUUAAGUCCCGCAACGAGCGCAACCCUCACUUUUAGUUGCCAUCAUUAAGUUGGGCACUCUGAAAGAACUGCCAGUGAUAAGCUGGAGGAAGGUGGGGAUGACGUCAAGUCCUCAUGGCCCUUACGUGUUGGGCUACACACGUGCUACAAUGGUAUUUACAACAGGAAGCAAGACGGCGACGUUUAGCAAAUCCUUAAAAAAUACCUCAGUUCGGAUUGCACUCUGCAACUCGAGUGCAUGAAGCUGGAAUUACUAGUAAUCGUGGAUCAGCGUGCCACGGUGAAUGCGUUCCCGGGUCUUGUACACACCGCCCGUCACACCAUGGGAGUUGGUUCUACCUUAAGGCAAGGUUUUAAACCCUUGACCACGGUAUAGUCAGCGACUGGGGUGAAGUCGUAACAAGGUAGCCGUAGGGGAACCUGCGGCUG
rnacentral:rRNA from 1 species